rnacentral:lncRNA from 1 species
CGAUAGGAAGAACUUCAUGGAGAAGAUACCACGGCAUAAGUCCCCACGUAGAGCCAGCCCCAUGCCCAAAUAUCUAGCUCACGAUUCGACAUAAAUCCCAUUGGAGAAGACCAGUAGCGAGCAAUCGUCGUCAGGACAGUCUCGAUGCUACUGGAUGAGUGCGAAAACGAAGGUGAACCAGUUGACGAGCUGGCAAAACAUCUGCAUAAAAAAGUUUAUGAGCUUUCCUCUCAUUUUUUCAGAUGGAUACUUCACUUUGCAACACGGUCACCAAAUGCGAACUUCCACAAGUAAACAUCACCGGCUGCGGCCAUGAGAGACUGGAAAAGCCUUGGCGACCACGUCGAACAUGGUAUUCAUGAUCAAGCUAGGAGGAUUAAAACUCUCUCGCAAACGAAAGCUCAAGUUUGAUCGAGCUUACCAUGAGCCACGUCGCUCCAUUCCCAACCUCGACGUCCAUAGCUAGACAAAGAAAACAAGUUGAGUAGUAUUGAGAGAUUUGUUUUUGAGCAUACCCGAAGACUGUGAUGCACAACUUCGAGUGCUUGCCAGUGCUCGUCCGGAGUCUUAUGCACAGAGCAGCCAAAUACCAAGCGCCGAUUGCUCGCUGCCAAGAACUCUUUCAUCGAAGAAGAGAAUUCUCAAAA